rnacentral:rRNA from 1 species
GACGAACGCUGGCGGCGUGCUUAACACAUGCAAGUCGAACGGAAAGGCCCUGCUUUUGUGGGGUGCUCGAGUGGCGAACGGGUGAGUAACACGUGAGUAACCUGCCCUUGACUUUGGGAUAACUUCAGGAAACUGGGGCUAAUACCGGAUAGGAGCUCCUGCUGCAUGGUGGGGGUUGGAAAGUUUCGGCGGUUGGGGAUGGACUCGCGGCUUAUCAGCUUGUUGGUGGGGUAGUGGCUUACCAAGGCUUUGACGGGUAGCCGGCCUGAGAGGGUGACCGGCCACAUUGGGACUGAGAGACGGCCCAGACUGCUACGGGAGGCAGCAGUGGGGAAUAUUGCACAAUGGGCGGGAGCCUGAUGCAGCAACGCCGCGUGCGGGAUGACGGCCUUCGGGUUGUAAACCGCUUUCGCCUGUGACGAAGCGUGAGUGACGGUAAUGGGUAAAGAAGCACCGGCUAACUACGUG